rnacentral:lncRNA from 1 species
CAGUAUUUUAGAUAGGGCUUCUUUUUGAAGGAAAGAGCCUGAAUGAAUGCAAAUAGAAGUCAACUAAUAUUGUUUGAAGUAACCGACUGUUCCUAGCGUAAGUGGCAAAGGAGUUGGUGGUUGGUAUCCGUGGUCCCAAGUUCGAAUUCUAGUUGAUUCAUAUUUUCAGCUAAGUUUAUUUCUAAAUAAAAUAAACAAAAUAAUUAGCACGCUACCUAUCUCUCAAAAAAAAACAUUGUUUGAAGUAUAAAAUAGUAUACUGAAAUCUUAAUGUAAUGCAAUGCGUAAACGAGAA